AACGAACGCUGGCGGCAUGCCUAACACAUGCAAGUCGAACGAGACCUUCGGGUCUAGUGGCGCACGGGUGCGUAACGCGUGGGAACCUGCCCUUAGGUUCGGAAUAACUCCCCGAAAGGGGUGCUAAUACCGGAUAAUGUCUUCGGACCAAAGAUUUAUCGCCUUUGGAUGGGCCCGCGUUGGAUUAGCUAGUUGGUAGGGUAAAAGCCUACCAAGGCGACGAUCCAUAGCUGGUCUGAGAGGAUGAUCAGCCACACUGGGACUGAGACACGGCCCAGACUCCUACGGGAGGCAGCAGUGGGGAAUAUAGGACAAGGGGCGAAAGCCUGAUCCAGCAAUGCCGGGUGAGUGAUGAAGGCCUUAGGGUUGUAAAGCUCUUUUACACGGGAUGAUAAUGACAGUACCGGGAGAAUAAGCUCCGGCUAACUCCGUG
rnacentral:rRNA from 1 species